rnacentral:rRNA from 1 species
GUAGGUGGCAAGCGUUGUCCGGAAUUAUUGGGCGUAAAGCGCGCGCAGGGCGGUCCUUUAAGUCUGAUGUGAAAGCCCACGGCUCAACCGUGGAGGGUCAUUGGAAACUGGGGGACUUGAGUACAGAAGAGGAAAGCGGAAUUCCAAGUGUAGCGGUGAAAUGCGUAGAGAUUUGGAGGAACACCAGUGGCGAAGGCGGCUUUCUGGUCUGUAACUGACGCUGAGGCGCGAAAGCGUGGGGAGCAAACAGGAUUAGAUACCCUGGUAGUCCGCGCCGUAAACGAUGAGUGCUAAGUGUUAGGGGGUUUCCGCCCCUUAGUGCUGCAGCUAACGCAUUAAGCACUCCGCCCGGGGAGUACGGCCGCAAAGGCUG